ACGUACACAACCUUCCUUCAAGCGGGGAAUAGCCCAGAGAAAUUUGAUUAAUACCCAUAAAAUAUGAUAGAGGCAUCUCUACUAUAUUAAAGCUUCGGCACUUAAAGAUGGGUGUGCGUCUGAUUAGGUAGUUGGUGAGGUAACGGCUCACCAAGCCAACGAUCAGUAGCUGAUGUGAGAGCAUGAUCAGCCACACGGGCACUGAGACACGGGCCCG
rnacentral:rRNA from 1 species